CCCUUAGAGUUUGAUCCUGGCUCAGGACGAACGCUGGCGGCGUGCCUAAUACAUGCAAGUCGAGCGAAGAGGAGGGAGCUUGCUUCCGAAUCUUAGCGGCGGACGGGUGAGUAACACGUAGGCAACCUGCCUGUAAGACUGGGAUAACCCCGGGAAACCGGAGCUAAUACCGGAUAGGUCCCAAGACCGCAUGGUCUUGGGAGGAAAGAGCGCGACUCACUUACAGAUGGGCCUGCGGCGCAUUAGCUAGUUGGUGGGGUAACGGCCUACCAAGGCGACGAUGCGUAGCCGACCUGAGAGGGUGACCGGCCACACUGGGACUGAGACACGGCCCAGACUCCUACGGGAGGCAGCAGUAGGGAAUCUUCUGCAAUGGACGAAAGUCUGACAGAGCAACGCCGCGUGAGUGAAGAAGGUCUUCGGAUUGUAAAACUCUGUUGUCAGGGAAGAACACCCGGGAGAGGAUCCCGGCUUGACGGUACCUGACGAGAAAGCCCCGGCUAACUACGUGCCAGCAGCCGCGGUAAUACGUAGGGGGCGAGCGUUGUCCGGAAUCAUUGGGCGUAAAGCGCGCGCAGGCGGCUUCUUAAGUCUGAUGUGAAAGCCCACGGCUCAACCGUGGAGGGCCAUUGGAAACUGGGAGGCUUGAGUGCAGGAGAGGAGAGUGGAAUUCCUGGUGUAGCGGUGAAAUGCGUAGAGAUCAGAGGAACACCGAUGGCGAAAGCAGCUCUCUGGCCUGUAACUGACGCUGAGCGCGAAAGCGUGGGGGGCAAACAGGAUUAGAUACCCUGGUAGUCCACGCCGUAAACGAUGAGUGCUAGGUGUUAGGGUUACACACCCUUAGUGCCGAAGUCACACAUUAAGCACUCCGCCUGGGGAG
rnacentral:rRNA from 1 species